UACAGAGGGUGCGAGCGUUAAUCGGAAUUACUGGGCGUAAAGCGCACGUAGUCGGCUUUGCAAGUCGGUUGUGAAAUCCCCGGGCUCAACCUGGGAACUGCAUCCGAGACUGCAUUGCUAGAGUAUGGGAGAGGAAAGCGGAAUUUCUGGUGUAGCAGUGAAAUGCGUAGAUAUCAGAAGGAACAUCAGUGGCGAAGGCGGCUUUCCUGGACCAAUACUGACGAUCAGGUGCGAAAGCGUGGGGAGCAAACAGG
rnacentral:rRNA from 1 species